rnacentral:lncRNA from 1 species
UUUUGAUAAGCAAUGAAUAUUUAUUUUUAUUUCGGUCUUACAAUUUAUCUUAAAUCUUCAAUCUUGUUUCAAAAUUUGACAUACAAAAUUCACUUAAUCAACUUCAAAAAUAUUUCUUUUUACUUACUUUACUUGAUCUUUAAGAAAUGAGGUCGAUUUUGCUCCUCCCUUGGAUUCAAGAAACCUGAUGCUCAAAAUGCCAGUUCACAGUCAUCUGCAGCUUCAAGUUUGCAAAGUAAUGUUCAACAGUCCCACGACAAGCUUGUUUUUGGGUCAAAUGCAAACCGCACUAACGAGACCGUUAAGGCAAAAGAGUCAAAACCAAAGCCACCUAAAAGAGAGAAAUAACAUAGCUUAGCAAGUUUUAACAACAUGGUUUACGAGAAUAAGGUGUAACCAAAGAUAAAAAUCUGAUCUCGCUUAUCUCGUGAUACUUGACCUCAUGGCAUUCGGGGCUCAGUGCAGAGAAUCAAGCAGCAUGGGCUGCAAGGCUUGGCCCUCAAAGAAAUUCCGAGGUAACACUAGCGGGUACUCUACUUCAUUCACUUUCCACGCCUAAAACAGUUGGUAAUCCUCAGAUGGACGAUAAAAUUCCAUGAACACAAGAAUAGGAUUGAGAAUGUCAGCAAUGUUCGUGAACAUGAAUGCUAGGAUGUUAAUAAAGAUAUGAGAUUAAAGCACUUACUAGCUAGUCGUGGCAGAGAUAGUGAAGAACUCCUUUUUGGAUAAAGAUGAAGUCGAAUUCAAAUGCAGGGUUCUCCAUAUCAAAUUGGAUGAACUAGGUGGUGCGAAAGCUUCGCUGAAACAGUUAUGUGAGUAAAUGUUAAAGAUGCAAAACCAAUAGGCAGUAGUGACGUCUCCCAAAAAUAAUUCCUGCAACGAGAGACCAAAGAUCAGGCAGUUACAAGUUGAACAUAAGGUGGUGCUGAAGAGAUGCAAAUCAGAAAAAUAUUCACUUUCAGUUACACACAGUCAUAAUUAACAUAAAAGGUGACAUUAUUAUUUCAGUUACAAGGAGAUGGUCAGAAUUGUAUAAAGAAUAGUGAUGAUUGGCAAAUAUCAAAAAUUAAUAGGGAAUAACAAAUAGUUAUAAGAUUACAAUCAAACCAAUCACAUGAGGAAUUCGAAGGGAAGGAAUAAUCUGCAGGAGUUACAUGUAAGGGGGCAGCCAAUUACUAUUCUUUUCAGUUACACUUGAUAUAAUUGCAAUCAUUAUGCUUGCCAAUUUUCUUCGAGUAGUUUUAAAAAUGGUAUAAUCAGAAGGCAAAGAUCAUGAUAUGUUGGCAGCCUAAGAGUCUAUCAUCAAAUAACUUAUGGUCAGCUAUAAAAGGAAGCAUACAACUGCCACAAAAAAGAGGACAUAAGCAUCAGGAGUCGAAAGAAAAAAUCAGAAACAUAAAAAGCAAGAGAGAGGAGAAAGAGAGAAACACUCAAAAAGCCAUACACCUAUAGCAAGCAAUCAAAAAGAGAGCAGUCUAUAUACUCAACAUAGUAGCUAUCUAUCACACAUAUGUAUAACACACAAAAACCGGAGAAGAGAGCGUAACAUCUGAUACAUAUAGCGGAGAAAACAUAGCAGUCAUAGGUACACAGGAAAAGAGGAGCAAUAAAAAAUGAAAUGGAAAAGACAUAUCAAUAGCUGAAGAAAAUGAUCAAUAAUAAGUAAGAACUCAACGAGAAGAUAGUUGCAGACUUACAAACAGGAAUACAUUCAGGCCACGAUGUUGGAGGGGACUCAAUCUCUAAGUGAACUAAAUGAACUUGUCUAUGGACAGGAGCAUUUAGGUAGAGAUAAUUUAUCAUUUAUCUUUACACCUAAGGCAGCAUACAAUGGAACACUUUAUGGAGUUUGUUUACAUGUGCCUGAAAUUGUUCAGAGGCCCCCUGGUAUAUUAGGGACAUUAUCUCCUCAUUCUCAUUCAUCUAGGAUAUGCAACCGUUUUCUAGUUUCUGCACCUCGUUGUUACUGUCUCCUGACUAGAGUUCCUUUCUUUGAGUUACAACAUUGAGAUGUUAAACAGGAGCGUCUGAAUCGGAUAACUCAGUUUGUAUAUGAGUUGACUCUCUCUAACCUGAUCCAUU